rnacentral:pre_miRNA from 1 species
CAACUACUCCCUCCGUCCGAAAAUACUUGUCCGAGGAAUGGAUGUAUCUAGAUGUAUUUUAGUUCUAGAUACAUCCAUUUCUAUCAUUUUUACGACAAGUAAUUCCAGACGGAGGGAGUAUUAU